UGCGUAGGCGGAAUAUUAAGUCAGUGGUGAAAUCCUGCGGCUCAACCGUAGAACUGCCAUUGAUACUGAUAUUCUUGAAUGUAGUUGAGGUAGGCGGAAUGUGUAAUGUAGCGGUGAAAUGCUUAGAUAUUACACAGAACACCGAUUGCGAAGGCAGCUUACUAAACUAUGAUUGACGCUGAGGCACGAAAGCGUGGGGAGCGGACAGGAUUAGAUACCCUGGUAGUCC
rnacentral:rRNA from 1 species